ACUUACAAUUUUCAUCCACCUCUAUUAUUAAAAACUGACAUGGCUGAUAGAAUAAUCAGACAAUUACACAUAGUAUGUCACGUGGACCUCAUGUCAACAUAUAGAGACAAAUUUUUAAUAGUAGAAAUUGAUAAAUUUUUUUACU
rfam:Gossypium raimondii Chr04_contig_293, whole genome shotgun sequence.